rnacentral:rRNA from 1 species
UACGAAGGGGGCUAGCGUUGUUCGGAAUUACUGGGCGUAAAGCGCGUGUAGGCGGGUCUUAAGUCAGGGGUGAAAUGCCAAGGCUCAACCUUGGAACUGCCUUUGAUACUGGAGACCUUGAGUCCGGGAGAGGUGAGUGGAAUUGCGAGUGUAGAGGUGAAAUUCGUAGAUAUUCGCAAGAACACCAGUGGCGAAGGCGGCUCACUGGCCCGGAACUGACGCUGAGACGCGAAAGCGUGGGGAGCAAACAGG